UUCCCGCCUCACCCGUUGGGGGCAGACCCGCGCCAGGGACCGGGCGGUUUCCCCAACCGUUGGCAGGCUCCGCCCCCUGACCGGCGCUUUACUCGGGUGCCAGCGAAACGGGCCGGCGCGGACGCACCUCAGGCAGCCCCGCUCCGAGGGGGGGAAGUAGACGAGAACUAGGAUACGUCAUCCAUGGUCAACUGACCGACGGAGGCCAACAAAUUGCAGUAGACCCACGUGUGACACUCAACCUUGGGCAUUCUAACCCCUAUAUUCCUCAUUUUUAUAUCCUUAUGAUUUUACACAAAGAAUGCCAUGGAAGGUAUCAGAAGAAAGAUGGUGAUCUUCUGAAAGUCAUUUAUCUAGCUGUAUAUGUAUAUCCUUACUAUACAUGAAGUUAUGAGGAACUGUUGUAUGGUUGUUACUAAAACAUUUUAAGUUGGUGAUUCAGCCAGAUAUUAGCUUCCCUGAGACAACAGGAAAGAGACUAACCAAGCCCUGGGUGGGUGUCACCGGCCAUUGUCCAGCAUGGGAGCUACAAUGGAAUGACUCACCUGUAUGAAGCUGCACCAGCAGAAUUGCUCCAACUUCGCCUGGAAACUCAGCAAUGGUCCCAGAUAUGCCUAGACUUGUGCUUUCCAGCCACAUGGACUGAGGGUAUAAAAACCAAACACGGGGACCUAUGUGUUGCCUUUUGCUUACAUCAUUGUAGAGAAGGAAACAAUUAUACUCUGAAGACUCCAGCAGGUGGAAUGACUCAUCUCAACAGUGAAAUCUGUGCAAUAUCCAGUGAGAUGACCCUUCGAUCAGUGAGAGUCUGAUUAAGUAACUUGACUUGUCAAAAUGCAACAAGUAUGAUGAGCAGAUCAGGACCAAGAGUGGAUAAUGCAACCAAUUUCCUGCAUUGAUUCCAGACAGAUGAGCGGGUAAGAGGAACUGAGUGGUUGCUGGACCACGCGUGGCUGAUCAAAGGCGCUGCACAUGCGUGGUCUGGUGGAGCACAGCUAUGACAGCUCUCCGAGCCGCGGUGCCGGAAUGGGACCCGACACCAAGAGUGGAGCACCCACGGGGACCACUCGAAGAAGAACCCUCUUACUGAGAAUUCUAGAAGAUAAAAAUAGUGCCCCAAUUUUAUUAUUCUUUUUAAAUAACUGCUCCAAUAAUUGUAACCAAGUAAAAGCAAACAGUACACAUAAUUAACUGGGCUGUCAAAGGUAAUUCAUACAGACAGAAAAUAGAUGCAACACAACAGAGGAGUAAUGGGAUAAAAGAUGUCAAGAAAUUGACAUGGUCUCUGUCUCCCUGGAAAGUGUAUGGGAUUAUUAUAGCCAAGCUCCUCAGUCUAUGCAGCUGGUUGGCCAAUAGGAAUGUCUUGUAUAGUUGCUGAAGACAGACAGCAAGACUAAAGGGCUCAACUAGUUACAAUUUGGGUUUUACUACAAAAACUCAUGACAGAAUAUAUUUGUUAGUCUCUAAGGUGGCACAGAACUGAUCGUUUUUAAAGUUACAGACGAACACGGCAACCCCUCUUAGACUAGCUACAACUUUGACAGCCUUUUGGUUAACAAAGAGAGCUAAGAAGUAUUGUAAUUCCCUCUGGGCCAGAGAAGUCACAAUGGCUAAUCCUAAAAUCAAUCCCUUAAUCACAUCUAUCAAAUUAGAGGCAGCUGUCAAAAAAAUAACAUAUGCAAACGCUUCCAUGGGAGCAUGGCUCAGUCCACACAAAACAAAGGUCUUUAAUUCAGAUGCUGGACACAGACAGAAAUGGAGGAAUGUUCCACACACACUAGAAUUUCUUCUCUCCCCUUUUUGGAUGCUGCACCAUUUAAUUUUAUUUUUCCAGUUAUUAAUUAAGCCACUUGUGUGCUUCAGAUAUUUGAGAGAUAUGGCAGAGAGAAUCACUUUUGACAGGGGAAGGAGAAGCUGAUCAGACCCAAACUAUGAGUCCAAUUAAUUUACCCUUUUAAAACCCAGCUAAAAAAUUAGUUCAGAAUGUCAAGUGACUGUUCGUUGUUCAUGUUCUCCAAACAGAAGAUUGCUCCAAGAGCACAUAUCUGUAAGCAGAGCAGAACAGCCAAUCCUGGGUCAGGUGACUGUAAGCUUAAAAGCUCGGCUCUUACCAUACCUCAAGCCAUGUUCAAAUCCAUCCACUCUCCCGCCCCCGGCCAGCUACCCUCCAAAAAAGCCCAUGCCUGUUUCUGACAAGCACCUAUGGUCAGUGCUCAGAUAUUAUGGUGAGAAAUGAAAGAUACUAACAAAUUGGAAUUUGGCUUUCAAUCUUCUAAGCAUGACUGCCAAAAUAUAUUCAAUGUGAAGUCAAUUUAAAAAGUGGAAAACAGAUUGAAGAUGGACAAAAAAAAAACCCCCAAACAAACUCAUGGCUGGUUCGAGGGAGUUUUCCUUCAAAGGUUUUCCCUCGUGGUUUAACCAGGAGAUCUAUAACUGUCAGUAACAACAACAAAACUGCCCGUCUUGAAAGUAAAACUAUCAAAAAACGCAAAGAGCAUCAUGCAGAGAAGGCCAGACACACACUUCGAGGGCACCAUAGCUCCUGCAGAACAUGGAGAAGAGGUCUUGCAACUCCAUCAGACAGUAAUGGGCCAAAUGUAAGCCUAUGUUGUGUAGAGAUACUAUUUGGAGAGGUUUAUUUACAGCUUUAUUUUAAAAGAAGGGUUUGACACAAAGCUCACUCAUUAACCCCCCCAACAGCAUCUCCUUGUCAUGGGCAAAAUAAAAAAAAUCACAAUCUUUAAUUGUGGUUAAUCUUACCAUUUUU